GGAUGCGAUCAUACCAGCACUAAAGCACCGGAUCCCAUCAGAACUCCAAAGU
rnacentral:rRNA from 1 species